GGGAUGUUGCUACACAGAAAUGGAAAGUUGACUAUAGAAAAAUUAAAAUCAUCGCGUUUGUCAUAAAUUUUGGUAUUCAACCUACCAUCAGUAGUCUUUUCGAGAAAAAGAUGCAGAUUUAUCUGUGUCGGUAGUAUCUUUAAUUUCAAGUUCACUUGGAUAUAUUAAAUGUAAGUGAUCACUGAAUCUAUUAUUAUUAAGAGACAGUACAUCAUCAAUAUACCGAAAGGUGAAAUUAAAAGACUGGGCUAAUUUCUUUUCUCCUUUCUGUACAAGCCCUUGGAUAAAUUCUGCUUCAUAGGAAUAUAAAAACAAAUCUGCAAGUAGAGGAGCGCAAAUGGUACCCAUUGGGAUUCCAAUAGUCUGUUGGAAGACCAAACCUCCAAAUUCAACAAAUAUGUUAUCAAUUAAAAAGUCCAGCAUGGCAGUGAUAUCCUCGUCGGUAUAUU
rnacentral:lncRNA from 1 species